rnacentral:rRNA from 1 species
UACGGAGGGAGCUAGCGUUGUUCGGAUAUACUGGGCGUAAAGCGCACGUAGCGGCGCCGUAAGUCAGGGGUGAAAUCCCGGGGCUCAACCCCGGAACUGCCUUUGAUACUGGGUAUCUCGAGUCCGGAAGAGGUGAGUGGAAUUCCGAGUGUAGAGGUGAAAUUCGUAGAUAUUGGGAAGAACGACCGGUGGCGAAGGCGGCCCCUGGUUGGAUACUGACGCUGAGACGCGAAAGCUAGGGGAGCGAACGGG